rnacentral:rRNA from 1 species
UGGGGAAUAUUGCACAAUGGGCGCAAGCCUGAUGCAGCCAUGCCGCGUGUAUGAAGAAGGCCUUCGGGUUGUAAAGUACUUUCAGCGGGGAGGAAGGGAGUAAAGUUAAUACCUUUGCUCAUUGACGUUACCCGCAGAAGAAGCACCGGCUAACUCCGUGCCAGCAGCCGCGGUAAUACGGAGGGUGCAAGCGUUAAUCGGAAUUACUGGGCGUAAAGCGCCCGCAGGCGGUUUGUUAAGUCAGAUGUGAAAUCCCCGGACUCAACCUGGGAACUGCAUCUGAUACUUGCCAGCUUGAGUCUCGUAGAGGGGGGUAGAAUUCCAGGUGUAGCGGUGAAAUGCGUAGAGAUCUGGAGGAAUACCGGUGGCGAAGGCGGCCCCCUGGACGAAGACUGACGCUCAGGUGCGAAAGCGUGGGGAGCAAACAGG